UUGGCGAUGUCGCCGACGAGCUCCAGCUUACUCUCCACUCUGACCGUCGGAUUGGCGAAGUAAUUGUAGACUGAGUCGUCGGAGAAGAUCGUCGACAGCUUGUCCAUGUCCGCGCUCGUCGCUUCCAGAGUGCCGUUGGCCUUGGCGACGUCGGUGAGCGCCGCCGCGUAGCUCCCCGCCGCCGUGUCCAUCAUCGUCGCCCCUCCACUGCGGCGGCGCCGCCUGACCGCGCUGAUGACCGCCGCCCUGGAGAGGCGGAGCGCGCCUGGGAUGACGGCGAUGGACGACGUUGAUCGGAGAGGGAGGGACCUCACGGCGGUGGAGAUCGGCGCCGCCGCCCCCCUCACCGCCGGAUUCCUUCCCUUCAGAGCCGCCGUCGACUGCUGCAGAGCCGCCGUCGCCGCCAUCUCUGUCUCUCUCCUCUCUCUCUCUCUCUCUUCUCUCUUCUCUCUCUGAAG
rnacentral:lncRNA from 1 species